ncrna:unclassified sequences RT-2 RNA
UCUGACGGCCUCGCGCCGUCGGACAAACAUAUACCGCGAUACGGUUAGCCGGACGCUCCUUGCAUGGGUGCGGAGUGCGUGUUUUCCGUGCUUUCAUGGCUCGCCGUUACGCAUUUUAGAUAACACGCCGAGAAAGAAAUGUACGAGGUAUUUUUAUUUUAUGAACAGCAC